AUUGAACGCUGGCGGCAGGCCUAACACAUGCAAGUCGAACGAGUGGCGGACGGGUGAGUAAUGUCUGGGAAACUGCCUGAUGGAGGGGGAUAACUACUGGAAACGGUAGCUAAUACCGCAUACCAUCAGAUGUGCCCAGAUGGGAUUAGCUUGUGGGUGGGGUAACGGCUCACCAAGGCGACGAUCCCUAGCUGGUCUGAGAGGAUGACCACCCACAUUGGAAUUGGGACCCGGCCCAGACUCCUAGGGGAGGCGCAAGGGGGGAAUAUUGCACAAUGGGCGCAAGCCUGAUACAGCCAUGCCGCGUGUAUGAAGAAGGCCUUCGGGUUGUAAAGUAUUUUCAGCGGGGAGGCGUUACCCGCAGAAGAAGCACCGGCUAACUCCGUGCCAGCAGCCGCGGUAAUAC
rnacentral:rRNA from 1 species